GCUGGGUGUGGUGACACACGCCUGUAAUCCCAGUGGCUCAGGAGGCUGAGGCAGGAGGAUCCUGAGUUCAAAGCCAGCCUCAG
rnacentral:sRNA from 1 species